AACGAACGCUGGCGGCAGGCCUAACACAUGCAAGUCGAGCGGACCCUUCGGGGUUAGCGGCGGACGGGUGAGUAACGCGUGGGAAUAUGCCCUUCUCUACGGAAUAGUCCUGGGAAACUGGGGGUAAUACCGUAUACGCCCUUUGGGGGAAAGAUUUAUCGGGGAAGGAUUAGCCCGCGUUGGAUUAGGUAGUUGGUGGGGUAAUGGCCUACCAAGCCGACGAUCCAUAGCUGGUUUGAGAGGAUGAUCAGCCACACUGGGACUGAGACACGGCCCAGACUCCUACGAGAGGCAGCAGUGGGGAAUCUUAGACAAUGGGGGCAACCCUGAUCUAGCCAUGCCGCGUGAGUGAUGAAGGCCUUAGGGUUGUAAAGCUCUUUCAGCUGGGAAGAUAAUGACGGUACCAGCAGAAGAAGCCCCGGCUAACUCCGUG
rnacentral:rRNA from 1 species